rnacentral:lncRNA from 1 species
UCAUUUUUACAUUUUGUUUUUUGUUAGCUGACAUAUUUGAUUUCACUCCUAAAAAUGAUACCUCGUAUUUGUUGGUUGCUUUCCUGAAGUCUGUUCUCAUUUUAAAAAAUUAUACCUUUUAUUUGUUUAAAGUUGAUAGAUUCAUUGUUAAAAAUGAUACAUCAAAAAUUGAUACAUUGGAACUUUUAAAUAGAAGUGAUAGGUGUCUGUGGCAGCAGAGGUUAAGUUUUUUUUAGGCAUCUAGAAAUCAGUGUUCU